CUCCGCCCGGGGCCCCCUCCGCGGCCGUCCCCGCGUUCCCACUUCCUUUCCAGCCAGCCGGCCGCCCGUCCCUUCGGAAGCCGGGCUUCUGGGAGCAGGGGCGCGAGGCAGCGCGAGGCAGCCCGCGGGGCGGGGGCGCUCGACCUUCCCGCCCCCGGGUCACCCAGGGGCCGCUCCUGCCCUCGCCCGCAGCCGGCUGCUUUCCCCCAACUACCUGUCCGAGCAGCCGCCCGGAGACGUCCCCAGGCCAGGCCCGCCUCGCCGGGGUCCCCCAUCUGCACCGCGGCGCGCUCUCCAGGGAGCCAGGGCACUGCCCCGUCCCUCUCCCUCUCGGCCUCCCGCUUCUGCGCUCUUUGCGCUUUUGUGGGCUCCGCCACUCGACGCGACCCAGCCUUGGCGCUGUCACCCCUCCCACUGAGAGUUUGCAGUGUGGACACCGGCGAGCGAGCACAAGUCGUACGUUCCUGAGUAAUGAACCCACACAUCUCUGGUGAAAUCUUGUCCAAAACGCCCCAGCUCAUCGCUUGAAGAUGCGCUGCGCCCAGACAGUAGCCCCAGGCCACGCUCAGCCCAGUCCUGGUGGAAACAUGCACAGCAUAGCGAUGAGGACUGCCGUUCGCUGCUUUACCACUUGAAAGACUUAUGUUUGCAAAUGGAAAAUGGCUUCUUUCCCAGCAAGGAAGAAGGCAGGUGGAUGUGUGGGCUCUGGUCUCUCGGCUGCCACACAUCAGAGCAGGAAAGGCCCUCACCCAGAGAUGACAGUGCCACACACCCCACAACAGUGCUGCGUCUGAGUCCCUGGCACUGGUCACUGGGUGAAACCCUCUGCCUUCACAAAGCACAGACGCUGCAGAGGGUCCAGACUAAAUAUGAUUAAGAUUACGGAGUCACUAAAACCAAACCAAUGGCACUGGUUCUACUCUGGAGUGCAUGGGUCCUGGUGCCCAUGCAAGGCAGGAGCCCAUUAUCCCCGGGCUUUCUGGCCUGAGGCAGCUUGCUCUUCAGCGAGGUCCUGGGAGCUCCUUAGCAUCAGGAUGGAAUUGUAGAUCUUCAGAGCUGGGCCCGGCUUGAUCUUCAUGACCCCGACGAUGUCCAUCUGGGUCAGAAGUAGGAAGGUUUUGCCAUCGAUCUGCUGCAAUCAAAUAAACAAAUUCAAGUAAAGCCCAUGGUCCGCAAAAGCCAGUUCACCCAGCUGGAGCCCCUGGGUGCUGGGUGACUCUGGGGAGCUGGCGGCAAGAGAAUGAGGGGCCUUCUUUCUGCUCGGUGUCCUGACCCCAUUGACCGACCUGUUCCCCUGGAAACAGAGAGAAGCCAAAGUAGAAACAUGCUCAGAAACGUGCAUUUACCACCUGCCAGUUGGGUUCUGCUAGGCUUUCAUCAUGCUGGCUUGAACAAACCUGUCUAAAGAGCUUUAUGACUAGCAUCAUGAAUCUUGAAGACUUUUUCUGGGAGGACAACGUGCAAUGUGCACACUUAGUAUUAUUUGUAAUGGUGAAAUUCACCCCAGGCUUCCAAUCAUAGCAGAAGUAAAGAAAUGGUGGUAUUGCCACAGGAUAGGGUGCCUGCCUCACUGUUACCAAAUCCUUGUCUCAGUGAAACACCGAAUGAUUUGGGACAUUUCACCAAUUGUUGCAUAGUAACAUGAAAUAUGAUGAUAAAGGCCUCCGUUUGAAUUUUUAAAAUGAAAUCUGCCUGCCCCCAUGCAUACAUGUAGCUAUUUAGAAUAGUAAAGUCUGUAUAGCUAGUACUAGUGGAAGUUAUCUUUGGCUGGUGGGAUGGUGAUGGGUUUUGUUUUCUCCUUUUGACUUCCCUGUAUUUUAAGAUUUCCUUCUAUAAUAAAAAACGAUGAUAAACAGAAAUACCUACAAAGUAAAUGCUUCAUUUAUUGACUUUGAAAGAUAUUUUAAAAUGGGUUCAGAAUGAUUCUCAGCUGGAGAGGGGCAAGUUCUGCGGCACUUCUGUCCCAAAUGACCGUGACGGAAGUUUGGCUCAUCUCCCUGGAGAUAUCACUGUGCCUCCUAUACGGCAGAUUAAGUCAUCAUACUGUGAACUUUGAAUAGAUUUAUCCUAUUAUAAUUAAAUAUUUU
rnacentral:lncRNA from 1 species